UGAGGAAUAUUGGUCAAUGGUCGGGAGACUGAACCAGCCAAGCCGCGUGAGGGAUGAAGGUACAGAGUAUCGUAAACCUCUUUUGUCAGGGAACAAAGGCGGGGACGUGUCCCCGGAUGAGUGUACCUGAAGAAAAAGCAUCGGCUAACUCCGUGCCAGCAGCCGCGGUAAUACGGAGGAUGCGAGCGUUAUCCGGAUUUAUUGGGUUUAAAGGGUGCGCAGGCGGUCUGUUAAGUCAGCGGUCAAAGCCCGGGGCUCAACCCCGGCCCGCCGUUGAAACUGGCAGUCUCGAGUUGGAGAGAAGUAUGCGGAAUGCGCGGUGUAGCGGUGAAAUGCAUAGAUAUCGCGCAGAACUCCGAUUGCGAAGGCAGCAUGCCGGCUCCACACUGACGCUGAGGCACGAAAGCGUGGGUAUCGAACA
rnacentral:rRNA from 1 species